UACCGCGGUCUCAAGCGUUGUUCGGAUUCAUUGGGCGUAAAGGGUGCGUAGGCGGCGCGGUAAGUCGGGUGUGAAAUCUCGGAGCUUAACUCCGAAACUGCAUUCGAUACUGCCGUGCUUGAGGACUGGAGAGGAGACUGGAAUUUACGGUGUAGCGGUGAAAUGCGUAGAUAUCGUAAGGAAGACCAGUGGCGAAGGCGGAUCUCUGGACAGUUCCUGACGCUCAGGCACGAAAGCGUGGGGAUCAAACAGG
rnacentral:rRNA from 1 species